GGGCCCGCACAAGCGGUGGAUCAUGUGGUUUAAUUCGAAGCAACGCGAAGAACCUUACCUGGGUUUGACAUCCUCUGACAGCUGUAGAGAUACAGUCUUUGUAGCAAUACAACAGAGAGACAGGUGCUGCAUGGCUGUCGUCAGCUCGUGUGGUGACAUGUUGGGUUAAGUCCCGCAACGAGCGCAACCCCUGAUCUUAGUUGCCAGCAUUAAGUUGGGCACUCUAAGGUGACUGCCGUGGUUAACACGGAGGAAGGUGGGGAUGACGUCAAGUCCUCAUGGCCCUUAUAUCCAGGGCGACACACGUGAUACAAUGGUCGGUACAGAGGGAAGCGAAGUGGUGACACGGAGCCAAUCUCAAAAAGCCGAUCUCAGUUCGGAUUGGAGUCUGCAAUUCGACUCCAUGAAGUUGGAAUCGCUAGUAAUCGCGGAUCAGCACGCCGCGGUGAAUACGUUCCCGGGCCUU
rnacentral:rRNA from 1 species